UUUUUGCGGCGGAAAAAUCCAUCCUCCCCUGGGAUUCUGCCAUUCUUGUUGCUUUCGUCGCCGUCGGGGUGGGAGAACUGCCGCUAUAUCUCCGCCUCUGGGUUUCUUCGGCUUUGGGUCUCGCCCCGCCUACCACAGCUUCUGGAGAAUUGCCGUCAGCGUCGCCGGCGCUCCGAUGAAAAGUUUAUGUAUUGGAAAUUUUGAGAAAGAGGGCCCAAGUUCACCGAUUUUCGCCACCGCCCUGUAAAGUAUUACCUUCUAAAACGACAGGCAGACUGCAUGGGUGCACAGAAGAAGACGGGCUACAACAAAAUGGGCACCUGCACUAUCAACUCCCCUCGUGGCGACGGAUGAAAAGAAGAAUGGAGGAGGAGGACGCAGACAGAAGGUGUUGGGUAGUGGUAGUGGCCAUGAGCCCUACCCAUUCAUAUCGUAACUGCAAGGGGGCCCACUUGCAGUUACGAGCUUUAAUGCUCACCUAAAAUCUCUCACUCACCCAACCGCUAGGGUUGGGAAAAACCUAAGGGGCUGGACUAUCGAUUCCUAGUAUAUCCAGAGAGUUUGAUGAAUCUCUCUCUAACACAUCAACCUGUGAGAGGCCCCUUGAAAGUAAACCCCAAAAAUCUCUCUCUCUCUAGUUUUCUUUCUUUCUUCUUUCUUGCUCGCAGAGUUGCAGGCCAAACUUGGUUGGAGAUCCUGGGCGGAACCUAAAGUUCCUACAGUGGUAUCAGAGCCUCAGGUUCUUCUAAUUUCUGUAAGUCCCUUCAGACUUCUGUGACGCCUAUGAUUACCUAUGUAUAUAUCAUGCUGUGAAUGCCUAAGUGUGUAUCAAGCUGUAUAUCGAAUCAUGUUUUGUGAAUGUGCAAAGCAUGCUAGUACUUAAAAGGAAGACGCUGUAAUAAGAACAGAUAGCAGAGGGUUUGGACAGAGAAUGCAUAAAUCAGAGGACUUCGUUUUUUUUUUUUCGUCGACCUCUUUGUUUUUCCAAUGACCGAGCAUGUGGAGAACGCCUUCACCAGCAGGAAAGGGCAAGCAUCCUUUUUUUUAGUUCUGUCUCAGAUAAGAAACACCGAGCGAGAAGGAAGGCUGCACACCCUCCCUGCUGACCGCCUGACGGCCGCCCUUCCUCUCCUUCAUCACGGAAGAGGAGGGGCGACGGCCUGUUUCCUUUCUUCUGAUUAAAAAAAAAAAAUCACAAAAAAAAAAGGGGGAAAGGCCACCACCAUGGCCGGCGGUGGCCCUUUCACUUACGGGAGUAGUGGCUGCCGGCAAGGGAAAGGGAUGAGCAGAGGGAGCAGAGUGCGGGUCCUCUGAGAACGAACAGAGGGGUUUCAUUUGCUCGCUGCUCGCCGGAAGAAUCAGGGUUGUUCUCUGAAGUGGCACGAGCAUCUCCUCGCGAUAAUGGUGGAAAUUGGCCGGAGGCGGCAGUUGAAACCGUCGGUCAGCCGGACGCGGUGGAGGUGCGGCGGGUGAAACCCCAGCAAAUGGUUCUCGCGAGAGGAGAGAGUGUAUCGAGCGAGAAAAAUGGGGAAAACUCGUUCAGAGGGGUAUUUAUACAAAAAAUUUUGAAAUUACGAAUUUGGUCCACACAUUUCUCAUAAUGUUCAGAAACACUGUCAUAUUUUGUAAAUAUUAGUUCCGCUGCCAUUUUUGCUGAAAGUCUUUUCAGAAAAAGGCUUGUGAAAGCUUAUUUCUGUGGAAACCUAGAAUUUUAUACGAAAUUCCGUAAUGAUACCCUCAGAGUUAUUCUAAAUUUCUGAAAGAAGGUUCCAGAAAUUGUUUUGCAUUUCAGAUGUAAACAGAGAUUUUGUAUAAUUGUAUAUAGGUUCCCUCAAGCUGAUCAAAAAUUGCAGCAAAAGGGUUCCAAACGGUUUAAAAUUUAAUAUUGAGUUUUGAUUGUUUUAAGUGAUACCUUAAAAUGGUAUUAAAGAUCUUCUCCCUGUUGCUUUCCAUGUAUCGUUGUUAUAUAUUUGUUAUGGAAUUAACUUAGAAAUGACUUCAAGAGUGGGAGCUUCGAAAUGGUGAAAACUGAAAAUGGUUAGCAACAUGUUUGUGUGCUUAUGCAAUUUUGUUACUUUGUGUGUGCAUGACCCAAUGGCGCUAUAAAUGUUGUGUCGUAUUUGGAUAUGGAUAUUAUGUUGAAACAUGUUUAUAUUGAAUUUGAAUUUGGAUCCUCUUGUUGAUAUUAUUGUAUGUGGAUCCACAUGAGUAAGAUCUGAAUUUAAAUAAUUAUUUGGAUUUUUGCUUUGGAUCUGAUUGUUGCUUAAGAUCCAUAUUUGUAUUCAGUUUGAAUCAUGAUCUAAAUUUGUUUGGAUAUUGGUUAAAAAUACAUAUCCUGUUUAUGUUGGUUCAAGUUUAUGUUAUUAUACUUGAUUUAUGAAUAUUCAUCUUAAUUUUGGGUCUAUGCAGAUAUUAGAUAUGACCAAAACUUUUGUUUUCAAAAUCCAUAUUCAGUUGACACUAAACAUUGCACUCUUUUAGAGCAUGAUCUGAUUUGACUUGUUCAAGAUCUAUAUUAGAUCUAAACAUAUUAUGAUGAGCUUUGAUUUUUAGAUCUAAUGGUUUUACAAGUUGUACUUUUGCAAUGUGUAACACUAGAGUGCUAAAGAUGAAUUCCAGUUAAAAGGAAUGAUUAUGUUAUCACAUGUUGAUAUGCUAAGAGGUGUAAAUCAACACUCUUAGACAUGGUGAGAUCCUUAUAACAUUAUGUUGGGUCGUGAUACAUUAAGAUCCAAAUUAACUUAGCUGAAUCAUUGGAUCCAAAUUCUCGUACUGUUACUAAACACAAUAUAUCAUGUUUGCUUUUGGAUCCAAUGAGUGAUAUUUGUUGUCCUUUUAGAUUCAAAUCAUUCUAGAGUGCUAUUGAACAAUGCUUUAUUUACUCCAUUAAUGAGGUGAACUUGUUUAAAAAUAUAUAUUCAAGAGGUAUAAUGUA